CAUUUUUUAAACUAAUUAUUUUAAAUAAAAUCUGCUCAAUGUAAACAUAAAUAGCCGCAGUACCCCCUGUGCUAAGGUAGCAUAAUCAUUAGUCUUUUAAUUAAAGACUAGAAUGAAAGAUUUAACAUUUAAAUUUCUUUUUUUUUUUUAAUAAUUUAAUUUUAACUAAACAUUAAAAUGUGUUUAUUAUCUAAAAAGACGAUAAGACCCUAUUGAACUUUACUUAAGUUUAGCUGGGGAAGCUAGUUAAAUAUAAUUUUAACUAAUAAAAUAAAUGUUAAAAAUCUUUUUAAAAAAAUUUAAACAAGUUACCAUAGGGAUAACAGCGUAAUAUUUUUCUAAAGCUCUUAUUUAAAAAAAAGAUUACGACCUCGAUGUUGAAUUAAUUUAACUUUAAUACGCAACUGUAUUAAAAGCAGG
rnacentral:rRNA from 1 species